rnacentral:rRNA from 1 species
GGGUGAGUAACACGUGGGUAACCUGCCUGUAAGACAAGGGAUAACUCCGGGAAACCGGGGCUAAUACCGGAUGGUUGUUUGAACCGCAUGGUUCAGACAUAAAAGGUGGCUUCGGCUACCACUUACAGAUGGACCCGCGGCGCAUUAUCUCAGUUGGUGAGGUAACGGCUCACCAAGGCGACGAUGCGUAGCCGACCUGAGAGGGUGAUCGGCCACACUGGGACUGAGACACGGCCCAGACUCCUACGGGAGGCAGCAGUAGGGAAUCUUCCGCAAUGGACGAAAGUCUGACGGAGCAACGCCGCGUGAGUGAUGAAGGUUUUCGGAUCGUAAAGCUCUGUUGUUAGGGAAGAACAAGUGCCGUUCAAAUAGGGCGGCACUUGACGGUACCUAACCAGAAAGCCACGGCUAACUACGUGCCAGCAGCCGCGGUAAUACGUAGGUGGCAAGCGUUGUCCGGAAUUAUUGGGCGUAAAGGGCUCGCAGGCGGUUUCUUAAGUCUGAUGUGAAAGCCCCCGGCUCAACCGGGGAGGGUCAUUGGAAACUGGGGAACUUGAGUGCAGAAGAGGAGAGUGGAAUUCCACGUGUAGCGGUGAAAUGCGUAGAGAUGUGGAGGAACACCAGUGGCGAAGGCGACUCUCUGGUCUGUAACUGACGCUGAGGAGCGAAAGCGUGGGGAGCGAACAGGAUUAGAUACCCUGGUAGUCCACGCCGUAAACGAUGAGUGCUAAGUGUUAGGGGGUUUCCGCCCCUUAGUGCUGCAGCUAACGCAUUAAGCACUCCGCCUGGGGAGUACGGUCGCAAGACUGAAACUCAAAGGAAUUGACGGGGGCCCGCACAAGCGGUGGAGCAUGUGGUUAAAUUCGAAGCAACGCGAAGAACCUUACCAGGUCUUGACAUCCUCUGACAAUCCUAGAGAUAGGACGUCCCCUUCGGGGGCAGAGUGACAGGUGGUGCAUGGUUGUCGUCAGCUCGUGUCGUGAGAUGUUGGGUUAAGUCCCGCAACGAGCGCAACCCUUGAUCUUAGUUGCCAGCAUUCAGUUGGGCACUCUAAGGUGACUGCCGGUGACAAACCGGAGGAAGGUGGGGAUGACGUCAAAUCAUCAUGCCCCUUAUGACCUGGGCUACACACGUGCUACAAUGGACAGAACAAAGGGCA